CAGGCCUAACACAUGCAAGUCGAACGGAAAGGCCCUGCUUUUGUGGGGUGCUCGAGUGGCGAACGGGUGAGUAACACGUGAGUAACCUGCCCUUGACUUUGGGAUAACUUCAGGAAACUGGGGCUAAUACCGGAUAGGAGCUCCUGCUGCAUGGUGGGGGUUGGAAAGUUUCGGCGGUUGGGGAUGGACUCGCGGCAUAUCAGCUUGUUGGUGGGGUAGUGGCUUACCAAGGCUUUGACGGGUAGCCGGCCUGAGAGGGUGACCGGCCACAUUGGGACUGAGAUACGGCCCAGACUCCUACGGGAGGCAGCAGUGGGGAAUAUUGCACAAUGGGCGGAAGCCUGAUGCAGCAACGCCGCGUGCGGGAUGACGGCCUUCGGGUUGUAAACCGCUUUCGCCUGUGACGAAGCGUGAGUGACGGUAAUGGGUAAAGAAGCACCGGCUAACUACGUGCCAGCAGCCGCGGUGAUACGUAGGGUGCGAGCGUUGUCCGGAUUUAUUGGGCGUAAAGGGCUCGUAGGUGGUUGAUCGCGUCGGAAGUGUAAUCUUGGGGCUUAACCCUGAGCGUGCUUUCGAUACGGGUUGACUUGAGGAAGGUAGGGGAGAAUGGAAUUCCUGGUGGAGCGGUGGAAUGCGCAGAUAUCAGGAG
rnacentral:rRNA from 1 species